CUAUUAUUGUACUUCUGAGAAACAUUCAAGAUGAAUAAAGAGCAUUUAGCCACGUAGGGCACCCAGUAUGAAGGACUCUGCUUUUCUGCUAGGAUGUAGAUGUUAAGACAGAAUAGAUCACAAUAAAUAUAGAAAUCUUGGCGUGGUUGAGGCACCAUUAUUCAGACAAAUGACUGUUUCUCUUUUUAUUUACUUGCCCAGUGUCAGUGCCAGGAUUUCAAGGGGAGCCUUGAUGUCGAGUGAAGAGCAACAUGGACGCCAAGUGCAGGAGAACAUCCUGCAAGUGGUGAGGUUGUCACAGGGGUCCGUAUUGCCUGUGAUUAUUUUAACAAUCUCCUACCAGGGUACCGCUGGGAUCCUACAAUGGAAACUGUCCCAGAUUUUCCUGGAUGCCGAGGUGAAACAAUUCCCAAAUCACAGAUCAGUUAAUUACAACCAAUUUAGUUCCGCUCUUUGCACACCUGUCUGGAUUGGACUCCCUUUAACGUACAUCUGGCUGUUUUUUUGGGAGGCCAAGGGGCAGAAGGAAACAUCGUGAUCAUGCACUCAUAGGUUUCCAAUCAAAGUCCCAGGAGUAUCCUUCAACAAGGUAAUUAACUUGAAUUACUCCUGUAAAACCUCCAGCUGUAACGAAAUCAUUCAAAAAUGAAGAAUACAGUACAGUUGUGUUUGCUUUGGAUGGAAGUUUUAGCUAAGCAGCUAAAUAUAAAAGUAAACAGCACGGAAUUGUCGCCGUGGCGAAUUGUGAUCCUGACCUCGCACACCUGCGAUUGUAACCCAGGACUGAGGAGCCUGUCUGCUCCUGUUCUUUAAUUGCUCUACAGAAGUCGCCUCACCUGGUGUUUCAGGUGUUAAUCAGCUGCUAAUUAAAAUGUAUUCUCUUACAUCUGGCCCCCGAGGAACCUAAUUGUACACCAGCCCCCCCCCCAGGCCCCCACCCUUCCUAUUUGCCCCUGUCAUUAUAUCGGGCUUGACUCACCUCUUUGGCCUCGUUUAUAAGCUUUAUAUACUGAAUAGAUAACUGUGAGAUGUGCUGUCAGCGGCGAUGGGCACUUAGCCUGUGAUCUGUGUUCUCUCUCUGCGGACGCUGGGGGGGCUUUUAGUCUAACUGGCACCUUUUAUUUUAUUAUUGAAAAACGAGGUCGGGAGUGUCUAUUCGGCUGCCCCCAUUUUUAUUAAUAUUGUCCCGUCGCUUGUAGGACUAAUGAUGCAUUAUUAUGAAUUUAUUCUAAAAGAUAAAUUUUAAAAAUUAGAUUUUCUGCUGUCCCAUCCGUUCAGGAUGUGGUUCAGCCAUGGGAAGCCGUGCUGCCGGGGGGGGGGGCAGGUCUGUGAGGGCUUCCCCUGUGAACCCAGAGGACUCAGAUGCUGUACCUGUGAUCAGGAGGUUGUUGACUCAAACAUCAGGCUCCACAGAAUGAUUUCACCAGCAGGCUCUUCAGUUAGCGGCUGCUUUCUCGAUGCUAAGUGUCGUUUUAGGUAAAAGUGUCUGUUAAAUAAAUAAAAAGGUAAAGGAGGCUGAAACAGGACCUGAAUCUCCAAAUCUGGUGCUGAGGGGUGGCAGCCCUGCCCAUUGAGCCACCUUGCUGCCUUCUAUUAAACACAAAUAAAGUUUAUUGCUAUAUAGGUUUUUUUUUAUAUAUAUAUAUAGGUUUUUACUGAAACGAAAAACCCUCUGAGGGUAUAAAGCCGCAACAUUUAGAUUUUUCCUUAAAUAUACCAGCCACUGUCCAUAUCCAUGUUUGUCGUUUGUAUCCCAGUGUGUCCUGUUCAUCCCGGUGUUCUGUCUUCACUUCAUCCGGGGAGCCAAAUCACUUUCUUUUCAUCAUCCAUCUUACAUGUUUGAUUUAUUGGUUACAGUUCAUAUAAAGUUUGCUGAGUUAUCGAGUUACUAUUCCUGACUGCUUUAGACAUAAUGAAUUAUGGUCAAGGUAUGUGGAGGCGGGGGUGUGGCUGUGGAUUUAUAUUUUAUUCAGUUUAUUUUUCGUGAAGGUGUUCGUUCAUUGCCGAUUAACCCUUUAGGGGACGUUAUCUAGCUGAAAUCUGGGAGUGCAGCUCAGGGUGUCAGUUGGCUUAUAAUUUCACAUCCGUUUAGCUGGUAGUCACAGCCCUGCCAGGGUGAUAAAUUGGAAACCCAGAAGCUCUCCACUGGCACCUAAUGUAGCACAGAAUAAGCUACGCAUGCAAUAAACCUCGCCAGACCCCGGGGAGGUGACAUUCUGUAAGAGAACCAGGCUCCUUGGGUGACGCACCAAAUCAAAACAGAAUUAAAACUGGGUUCUGUUUCCCACGGACAGAUAGAAAGACGCAGGAGCCGCACAGUGGUCUGUACCCAGCAUGCCCGGCGUCGAGUCUGCAGCGUGACGUCAGCCUCCGGAUAUCCCUGUCGUCGUAAACUGUCCGUGUCGUUAAUCUCAUCACCCUCCCCGCAGUGAAAAUGGGGAGGCAGGGGGGCAGAUUGUAAUAUGAAGUUUACUAGCAGAAUGAAAGUGAUCUACAAGGACCCGUGUGUGUGUGUGUGUGUGUGUUUGUGUGUGUGUGUGUGUGUGUGUGAGCAAUGGCAACAAAGAAGCUGAAGAAGUCAAGGUAAAGGCAACGUUAACUACAUAACGACACUCCCCCCCCCUCGCGGGCUCCCCGUAACCGUUGUUAAUUUGCUGAAUUUACUGGAGCAAAUGGGCCUGACAAGUAAUACAGUGAGAAACGGGACGGCCAGUACCACCCCCCACGUCCCCGUCCCCCCAUGCACCCCCUGGCACUAUCUAUGAGGUGCUGACACUGGCCUCCUGAUUGGUUUGGACACUUUCAUUUGUACCUGCUUUGGGGGGGAUGGUUGUUAAAAGGUUGUGACAAAUGAGGAAAGUCGGAGUCGUUUUUGUUUUUUGUUUUUUGUUUUCUCCCAGCCAGCAAGACCAUGGAGACUCAGGAUACGAUUUAGUGGCAUGUUAAUUAUCCUGGAGGAUCGUCUCUCGGAUGCAUUGGAGACAGAUAAAAAGAUCUAUCAGGACAGCUGGGAUAACUUACCACUGAGAGAGAGAGACAGAGAGAGAGAGAGAGAGAGGAGAGGAGAGAGAGAGGGGGCGGCAAGUUACUCCAGGUUCUAAAUAGUAUAAAUAAUCAAACUGUCUUUCAAAAAUGUUGUACUGUCAUACUGUCAAUCCCCCUCCCCCCCGAAAGGAUGUAAACGUGGAGCCUGGGAUGGGAUGAAGCAUCCCAGGACAAUCGAGAGCCCUGGGUCUUUUCCGGAAAGAAUAACAGGGCCCUUGACGGGCACAGCACCGACCCCCCCUUGAUUGCAGCAGCACGUGACAGAAUAGCUGUGGGAUUAGCUCUUUGGGGGGAAGCCUGAUGACGUUCCUGCUAUUUUUUUUUUUUUACACCUGGAAGACAGCAAGAGAGCGAACGAGGAAAAUGGGCGCUUUCACACCCGGAGUCGAUUGGCAGCUGCUAUUGGAUGAAACGGCGAAUCCACUGUGGACAAAAGCUGUCAGCUGUGGAUGAAAGCGUUUCCUGCGUGGGAGACGGAUCUGCCCCUUUCCUCGGGACGGAUCUGCAGGGAGCAGACAAAAGUUUCGAAUAAACGUCUUUCUUGUUU